AGGUGGUUUUGGGAGUGUGUAUAAAGGUUCAAUUCAGCCUUCUAAUGGAAAGGGUGAUCCUGUUGUGGUUGCUGUUAAGAAACUCAAUACACUUGGAUUGCAGGGCCACCGACAAUGGAUUGCAGAAGUUCAAUUCCUCGGUGUGUUGGAGCACCCUAAUCUUGUUAAACUUCUGGGAUAUUGCGCUACAGAUGGCGAAAGAGGGAUUCAGCGCCUGUUGGUUUACGAAUACAUGCAAAAUAGGAGCUUAGAGGAUCAUCUGUUCAACAAAGCCGUACCUGUAGUUCCUUGGAGAACAAGAUUAAAAAUUAUCCUUGGUGCCGCACAAGGGAUGGCUUAUCUGCACGAGGGACUAGAAGUCCAGGUGAUAUAUCGAGAU
rnacentral:misc_RNA from 1 species